UACGUAGGUGGCAAGCGUUAUCCGGAUUUACUGGGUGUAAAGGGAGCGCAGGCGGCACGGCAAGCCUGAUGUGAAAGCCCGCGGCCCAACCGCGGGACUGCAUUGGGAACUACCGGGCUGGAGUGCCGGAGAGGUAGGCGGAAUUCCUAGUGUAGCGGUGAAAUGCGUAGAUAUUAGGAGGAACACCAGUGGCGAAGGCGGCCUACUGGACGGUGACUGACGUUGAGGCUCGAAAGCGUGGGGAGCAAACAGG
rnacentral:rRNA from 1 species